rnacentral:rRNA from 1 species
AACGAACGCUGGCGGCAGGCCUAACACAUGCAAGUCGAGCGAGGACUUCGGUCCUAGCGGCGGACGGGUGAGUAACGCGUGGGAACGUGCCCUUUGCUUCGGAAUAGCCCUGGGAAACUGGGCGUAAUACCGGAUGAGCCCUUUGGGGGAAAGAUUUAUCGGCGAAGGAUCGGCCCGCGUUGGAUUAGGUAGUUGGUGGGGUAAUGGCCUACCAAGCCGACGAUCCAUAGCUGGUUUGAGAGGAUGAUCAGCCACACUGGGACUGAGACACGGCCCAGACUCCUACGGGAGGCAGCAGUGGGGAAUCUUAGACAAUGGGGGAAACCCUGAUCUAGCCAUGCCGCGUGAGCGAUGAAGGCCUUAGGGUUGUAAAGCUCUUUCAGCUGGGAAGAUAAUGACGGUACCAGCAGAAGAAGCCCCGGCUAACUCCGUG